rnacentral:rRNA from 1 species
UACGGAGGGAGCUAGCGUUGUUCGGAAUUACUGGGCGUAAAGCGCACGUAGGCGGCUUUUUAAGUCAGGGGUGAAAUCCUGGAGCUCAACUCCAGAACUGCCUUUGAUACUGGCGACCUUGAGUCCGGGAGAGGUGAGUGGAACUGCGAGUGUAGAGGUGAAAUUCGUAGAUAUUCGCAAGAACACCAGUGGCGAAGGCGGCUCACUGGCCCGGUACUGACGCUGAGGUGCGAAAGCGUGGGGAGCAAACAGG